rnacentral:rRNA from 1 species
AUACGUAGGGGGCGAGCGUUGUCCGGAAUGAUUGGGCGUAAAGGGCGCGUAGGCGGCGCGGUAAGUCUGGAGUGAAAGUCCUGCUUUCAAGGUGGGAAUUGCUUUGGAUACUGCCGCGCUUGAGUGCAGGAGAGGUUAUCGGAAUUCCCGGUGUAGCGGUGAAAUGCGUAGAGAUCGGGAGGAACACCAGUGGCGAAGGCGGGGAACUGGACUGAAACUGACGCUGAGGCGCGAAAGUGUGGGGAGCAAACAGGAUUAGAUACCCUGGUAGUCCACACUGUAAACGAUGAAUGCUAGGUGUAGGGGUUGUCAUGCCCUCUGUGCCGCCGCUAACGCAUUAAGUAUUCCGCCUGGGGAGUACGGUCGCAAGAUUAAAACUCAAAUGAAUUGACGGGG